rnacentral:rRNA from 1 species
AUGGUUAUGGUUUUAAGGUAUGUUGAUAAACAUGGGUAUGCGAUUGAGAGGUUCAUUGGGAUUAAGCAUGUUGGUGACACAAGGGCAGCUUCCCUAAAAGCAGCUUUGGAUGGUAUGUUUCUUAAACAUGGCUUGUGUAUGUCUAAAUUGAGAGGGCAAGGGUAUGAUGGAGCUUCUAACAUGAGAGGACAAUUUCGUGGGUUGCAAAGGUUGAUACUAGAUGAAAAUCCGUAUGCAUUUUAUAUUCAUUGCUUUGCCAUCAGUUGCAGUUAG